AGUGAACGCUGGCGGUAGGCCUAACACAUGCAAGUCGAACGGCAGCACAGUAAGAGCUUGCUCUUACGGGUGGCGAGUGGCGGACGGGUGAGGAAUACAUCGGAAUCUACUUUUUCGGGGGGGAUAACGUAGGGAAACUUACGCUAAUAUCGCAUACGACCUACGGGUGAAAGCAGGGGAUCUUCGGACCUUGCGCGAUUGAAUGAGCCGAUGUCGGAUUAGCUAGUUGGCGGGGUAAAGGCCCACCAAGGGGACGAUCCGUAGCUGGUCUGAGAGGAUGAUCAGCCACACUGGAACUGAGACACGGUCCAGACUCCUACGGGAGGCAGCAGUGGGGAAUAUUGGACAAUGGGCGCAAGCCUGAUCCAGCCAUACCGCGUGGGUGAAGAAGGCCUUCGGGUUGUAAAGCCCUUUUGUUGGGAAAGAAAAGCAGCAGGUUAAUACCCCGCUGUUCUGACGGUACCCAAAGAAUAAGCACCGGCUAACUUCGUG
rnacentral:rRNA from 1 species